GAUGAACGCUAGCUACAGGCUUAACACAUGCAAGUCGAGGGGAAACGAUAGAGAAAGCUUGCUUUUUCUAGGCGUCGACCGGCGCACGGGUGAGUAACGCGUAUCCAACCUGCCCAUCACUUGGGGAUAACCUUGCGAAAGUAAGACUAAUACCCAAUGACGUCUCUAGAAGACAUCUGAAGGAGAUUAAAGAUUUAUCGGUGAUGGAUGGGGAUGCGUCUGAUUAGCUUGUUGGCGGGGUAACGGCCCACCAAGGCGACGAUCAGUAGGGGUUCUGAGAGGAAGGCCCCCCCACAUUGGAACUGAGACACGGUCCAAACUCCUACGGGAGGCAGCAGUGAGGAAUAUUGGUCAAUGGACGAGAGUCUGAACCAGCCAAGUAGCGUGCAGGAUGACGGCCCUAUGGGUUGUAAACUGCUUUUAUAAGGGAAUAAAGUGAGUCUCGUGAGACUUUUUGCAUGUACCUUAUGAAUUAAGGACCGGCUAAUUCCGUGCCAGCAGCCG
rnacentral:rRNA from 1 species